rnacentral:lncRNA from 1 species
UCCGAGCAAUGCCGGAUCCUAUCGCUAGUAUUAAAUAAAAUACUAUUUUUUGGGGGAAGCAUACGAAUAAUAUUAUAUUUAUCGACUAUAUAGUAUACUAGCAGUAUACUCCACAGACACUCUUUGCUUUAAUUAUAUAGAAGAUAACUCCCCAACAAAUCCUCAGUAUUAUCUACGUAGUUACUCAAUACUGAGAUGAGAUGUUCUCCCUCUAGAAUGAAAGAGUCUUGGAGUAUCUGGCGUGUGGUCAAAUAUGUGUGUAGCCUGGUGUUGUCUUGAUGGAAUACAAAACCCAUGGUAUUGGCCAAUCCUGGGGAUUUCUGGUCGAUCGCCUGGUUCAAUAUGGCUUAAAAAGAAAAUUCUCUAUUCAUUAGAAGAGUCACUUUUUGGCCAAAACGUCAAUUUAUGGCGUUUUAUGCAUCACAAAACUUCUUAUCGAUCAGCUGUUCAAGCACGUAUUACGCGGAGAAGAAAAAAAGAUUAGAGCACUCCCUCUUUUGUAAUAUACCUACCUUCAAUAAUAAUCAAAAAUAGGAAUCAACUAAUAUAUUAACGUGGAUGUCUCAAACGAAUCAUCACUCAAAUGCAUGCUGCAUAUAAAUGAAGUAUAAAGAUUAAAUGGAUCAUUCCUCAUACAGAAUUGAGCCCAAUUUCUUCUCAAACAAGGAUCUGAUGGGAAUGAAUGGCAUGGAGAUGAAUCCGAACUUAGAUUUAUACUUUCAUCCAUUCUUAUUGAUUCUUUGACCACCUUAUUACACUAAUGAAUUAACAAUACUAAAGAAAAUGGUAAAUUAAUUGUAAAAUUUUAUCAACAAGAUUAUCCUACUGACGUUCAUUUCAAUGGAAGAAGGAUAUAUGUUCCUGAUUAUUAUAUUAAUUUAUAUGUAGUUGU